rnacentral:rRNA from 1 species
UACGAAGGUGGCAAGCGUUACUCGGAAUUACUAGGCGUAAAGGGCAGGUAGGUGGUCUGAUAAGUUUGUUGUGUAAGCUCCCGGCUUAACUGGGAGAGGUCAACAAAUACUGUCAGGCUUGAGUAUAGGAGAGGUUACUGGAAUUCCCGGUGUAGCGGUGAAAUGCGCAGAUAUCGGGAGGAACACCAAUGGCGAAAGCAGGUAACUGGACUAUUACUGACACUCAGCUGCGAAAGCUAGGGGAGCAAACAGG